rnacentral:tRNA from 4 species
GGGACCAUAGCUCAGUCGGUCAGAGCAGCUGGCUCAUAACCAGCGGGUCGUAGGUUCGAGUCCUACUGGUCCCA